GGGCAUAUGGUGUAGUUGGUUUAUCACGCUCGCUUAGCAUGUGUGGAUACUUGCCUAGCUUGCGAGAGGUGUCCGGUUCAAUUCCGGAUAUGUCCA